GGCGUGCUUAACACAUGCAAGUCGAACGGUGAAGCUCCAAGCUUGCUUGGGGUGGAUCAGUGGCGAACGGGUGAGUAACACGUGAGCAACCUGCCCCGGACUCUGGAAUAAGCGCUGGAAACGGCGUCUAAUACUGGAUAUGACAUCAAGCCGCAUGGUUAUGGUGUGGAAAGUUUUUCGGUCCGGGAUGGGCUCGCGGCCUAUCAGCUUGUUGGUGAGGUAAUGGCUCACCAAGGCGACGACGGGUAGCCGGCCUGAGAGGGCGACCGGCCACACUGGGACUGAGACACGGCCCAGACUCCUACGGGAGGCAGCAGUGGGGAAUAUUGCACAAUGGGCGAAAGCCUGAUGCAGCGACGCCGCGUGAGGGAUGACGGCCUUCGGGUUGUAAACCUCUUUCAGCAGGGAAGAAGCGAAAGUGACGGUACCUGCAGAAGAAGCACCGGCUAACUACGUGCCAGCAGCCGCGGUAAUACGUAGGGUGCGAGCGUUGUCCGGAAUUAUUGGGCGUAAAGAGCUUGUAGGCGGUUUGUCGCGUCUGCUGUGAAAAUCCGGGGCUCAACCCCGGACUUGCAGUGGGUACGGGCAGACUAGAGUGUGGUAGGGGAGACUGGAAUUCCUGGUGCAGCGGUGAAAUGCGCAGAUAUCAGGAGGAACACCGAUGGCGAAGGCAGGUCUCUGGGCCACUACUGACGCUGAGAAGCGAAAGCAUGGGGAGCGAACAGGAUUAGAUACCCUGGUAGUCCAUGCCGUAAACGUUGGGCGCUAGGUGUGGGACUCAUUCCACGAGUUCCGUGCCGCAGCUAACGCAUUAAGCGCCCCGCCUGGGGAGUACGGCCGCAAGGCUAAAACUCAAAGGAAUUGACGG
rnacentral:rRNA from 1 species